CGGGGCGGCCUCCCUUCCGCCCACGCUCCAGGGCUUCCCCGGCUCCCGAGCUCCGAGCUUCCACCACAUCGGCCGGCUCAGGACAGAACCCAGAGUUGAUCUCUGCAGCAUGCCAUCACUGCUGGGGAUGAGGAAACGGUGAUUUCAGGACUGUUUUUUCUGUCUCUUCAGUGCCUCUUUCAGUGAUCUGAGGUUAAAACCAGACUAUGGAGGAUUCAUCAACAGACCAGGAAGCAACAGCCUGGGCUCCAGAAUUGACCAGUAGUCCGUGCACAGACGAGGAGAGGUCCCAUGAAACUUCGGCGCAGUCUGGGAACCGAGCUCUUUUUGUAACAAGUUGUUUGUCAGGAGGCCCGGUCAUGAAAGCCCUUCCUGACUGGGCUCAAGGAAUACAAAAAGGACAACUUGUUUUUGCCAUUGUCUGUUGUUUUUCAAUAACUAGUUCUCCGAAACAGCACUGGAUGAAUGCCUCAAGGGGCUCACACAACUCGUUCCAGGACUUAGUGACCAUUGUUUCUGUCCCUGUUCAAUAGAGUUCAAAUUUAAUAUUUAAAUUUUGCUCCACAAUGUGCCAUAUUAUCUGUAUCCAACCUGUCAUUGGGCAUUUAGGUUGAUUCCAUGUCUUUACUAUUGUGAAUAAUGCUGCAAUAAACAUUUACGUGCUUGUGUCU
rnacentral:lncRNA from 1 species